UGCCUGCCCAGUGAAACUUUAAACGGCCGCGUUAGCGUGAGCGUGCUAAGGUAGCGUAAUAAUUAGCCUUUUAAUUGGAGGCCAGUGAAUGGCAAGACUAGGAACACCUUUACUUUAUAUACAAAAAAAAUUUUUCAUCUAAGUGAAAAGACUUAGAUAACAAAGGAAGACGAAAAGACCCCGCGGAGCUUUACCUCUUCUUGUACUUCUGUUUACACACUUAAAUGUAUUAGAGGUUUGAUUGGGGCAAUCUUGGAACCCACAAAGCUUCCAAUAUUUUAAGUAACCCUAUUCAAAACUUAAUAAGGACCAAAAAGAAGCUACCCCGGGGAUAACAGCGUAAUCCAAUUUAAGAGUACAUAUCGAAAAUUGGGUUUGCGACCUCGAUGUUGGCUUAAGGUUAUCCACAUUAGUGCAACCGCUAUGUUAGGAUAGUCUGUUCGACUAUUAUACCCUUACACGAGCUGAGUUAAGACCGGCGCAAGCUAGGUUGG
rnacentral:rRNA from 1 species